AUCGGAUUGUAACGCGCCUCCGAAGCGGCGAUCGUGCGCACGCCCCAGCCGCAGAAGGAGGAU
rnacentral:sRNA from 1 species